rnacentral:rRNA from 1 species
AGCGAACGCUGGCGGUAGGCCUAACACAUGCAAGUCGAACGGCAGCACAGUAAGAGCUUGCUCUUACGGGUGGCGAGUGGCGGACGGGUGAGGAAUACAUCGGAAUCUACUUUUUCGUGGGGGAUAACGUAGGGAAACUUACGCUAAUACCGCAUACGACCUACGGGUGAAAGCAGGGGAUCUUCGGACCUUGCGCGAUUGAAUGAGCCGAUGUCGGAUUAGCUAGUUGGCGGGGUAAAGGCCCACCAAGGCGACGAUCCGUAGCUGGUCUGAGAGGAUGAUCAGCCACACUGGAACUGAGACACGGUCCAGACUCCUACGGGAGGCAGCAGUGGGGAAUAUUGGACAAUGGGCGCAAGCCUGAUCCAGCCAUACCGCGUGGGUGAAGAAGGCCUUCGGGUUGUAAAGCCCUUUUGCUGGGAAAGAAAAGCAGCAGGUUAAUCCCCCGCUGUUCUGACGGUACCCAAAGAAUAAGCACCGGCUAACUUCGUG